rnacentral:tRNA from 1 species
CUGUUCUUAGCUUAAUUGGAUAGAGCAAUGGCCUUCUAAGCCAUAGGUUAAGGGUUCAAUUCCCUUAGAGCAGA